AAUUAAUCAAACCAGAUGGGGGAAUGUAACUCUUUCCUCCACGAGCAUAGUCAUGCGGAGACGGACGAAGGCCACAAUCCACCAUGAGAUGGGACCAUUCAAAUGUUGGUUCAGGCCAUCCAACAUGAGGAUCGGGGUACAUUGGCGGCUGAACAUCGGCCAAGACAUCUGCCAAAACCUGCACCGAAUCCUCCGAGGAACUCGUAGUAUCCUCAUGCGUGAAGGAAUGAUGUGCUGGCAUUUUCGGGCGAUACAUUAUAGCGGUAAAAAUCGCAUUUGCGGCCAGCUAAAAGCAGCUUUCCACGCAGAUGAUAUGCCGAAAGAGCAACGAACGCUACUACGUCACUGCGGACUGUCCAAUGGCGAGUACACACCGUCAAUCUAACUAGAGGGAGAUGCCAGGCCGCGUAUGCAGAUUCCUCGAGAGUACAAUCUCCAUCAACAACGGCGUCCCACAACAUCAUGUCACUGCACUCCGUCUGGCGAUACCUCCAGAAUUCCUGCUUAUCAAGAGCGUCAUCGGAUAUUACGUCUUGUGGCCAGAACUGCUCAAUUGGACGUGCCCAAGCCGGGAC